GAUGAACGCUGGCGGCGUGCCUAACACAUGCAAGUCGAGCGAAGAUUACGGAAGUAGAAAUGCGGAAGUGAUUUUAGCGGCGGACGGGUGAGUAACACGUGAGCAAUCUGCCUUUAGCAGGGGAAUAACAUUGUGAAAACAGUGCUAAUACCGCAUAACGUCCGGGAGAGGCAUCUCUUCGGGACCAAAGGAGCAAUCCGGCCAAAGAUGAGCUCGCGUCCGAUUAGCUGGUUGGUGAGGUAACGGCCCACCAAGGCGACGAUCGGUAGCCGAACUGAGAGGUUGAUCGGCCACAUUGGGACUGAGACACGGCCCAGACUCCUACGGGAGGCAG
rnacentral:rRNA from 1 species